CCAUCUUUAAGAAUUGUAACACUCACCGCAAGGAUUGGAAUAAUACUUUUAAAAACUUUCUGCUUGAUUCAUUCCUGCUGGUACCCAUUUAUAACCUUGGGAUGAGCAUCAGCAAAUACUAUGAUAUCCAAGAGGUGAAUAUGUUGUGUUCCUGUUGAAAAGUAUUCCUAACUCCAUAAAUUACAGUACAGAAAUAGGAAGAAGGUUGUGAAAACUGUGCAUUCUAAAAGACAGCGUAGAUUGAAACACCCACUUUGGAUGCACCAAGGGAAAAGCAAAUCUGAGUGCUACAGGAGACAGUGAACAAGGGAAUCUCUCAUAGAGAGCAGGUGAGGAUUCUGCAGAAAAGAGAAUACGGAACACAGUGGCAACAGCGGUAGAUCCAUCAUGAGCUGGGAAAUACUGAAAAAAAUCUCUGAGAACUAGACCUAGUCAAUCAAAAUCCUGGUUAUAGGGGGAAAUAAAUAAAGAGGCUUGAAAAUGUGCAAAGCUAUAAAUGUUAAUCUUGAGAGAUAUUAAUUUGGAGGUUAGAGAGAAGCAACUUAGAAAAUAGAAGUGCCCUUUAGAAUUAGGGUAGCAAAGAGAAAUAAGGACAUGUCCAGCAUAAUUUAACUUCAUACAGAUAUUAGCAAGAAUCACAGAAUUGAGUCGCUUCAUUCCCUUAGAAAAAGUUCUAUUUGUUAAAGAAACUGCACUUCACUGUAUUAAUAGAAGAAGAUGAAUAUGUACUAAGAAGCUUACAAACUAAUCAAAAUAUUACCAUUCAUCCAUUAAAUCACUUGUUAUUGUUGGUUCAGAUAAUCAAUUUAAUAUGCCAUAAGAAGGAAACAGAAGAAUAUCAAAAUACUUCAAUUGAUGAAAAUUCCUGUCCCUCACCUGCCAAAGGAAACUAACCACAA